rnacentral:rRNA from 1 species
AUUGAACGCUGGCGGCAUGCCUUACACAUGCAAGUCGAACGGCAGCACGGGAGCAAUCCUGGUGGCGAGUGGCGAACGGGUGAGUAAAGUAUCGGAACGUGCCCAGUCGUGGGGGAUAACGUAGCGAAAGUUACGCUAAUACCGCAUACGAUCUAUGGAUGAAAGCGGGGGAUCGCAAGACCUCGCGCGAUUGGAGCGGCCGAUAUCAGAUUAGGUAGUUGGUGGGGUAAAGGCGCACCAAGCCGACGAUCUGUAGCUGGUCUGAGAGGACGACCAGCCACACUGGGACUGAGACACGGCCCAGACUCCGACGGGAGGCAGCAGUGGGGAAUUUUGGACAAUGGGCGAAAGCCUGAUCCAGCCAUGCCGCGUGCAGGAUGAAGGCCUUCGGGUUGUAAACUGCUUUUGUACGGAACGAAAAGGUUUGGCCUAAUAAGCUGAGCUCAUGACGGAACCGUAAGAAUAAGCACCGGCUAACUACGUGCCAGCCGCCGCGGUAA